GUCCAGGUCAUAAAGGACAUUGUAGCCUCACCUUGUACAUCUUAGCUCUCUCACUGUAGCCAAAGCCAGCCGCCAUGUCAGCAGAAUACUCCAACAGCCCUGUGGAGAACUGAGGCCUCCCUCCAACAGCCAGCACCAACAUGGCAGCCAUGACUGUUUCCUGAGUACCCUUCAGCUGAAGAGGAACUCCUCUUAGAAACUCAGCCUCGACCAUCCUAGUUCAUCUUGGGGCUGUAUGAACGCCCUUGACUUCCAGAAAAGAAAAGCACAGAGGGAGCUUGGGGAAGAUCUUCUGUAUUUGUGGUGGCUCUUAUCCAAGAAGGCCCCUCGCACACUGAACACAGCUGACCUGCGUAAUCCCUGGGAUGUUGUGGAAAUGACAGCAUGACUUCAGACACUAGAUUAA